GCGGGGGUGGCCGAGCGGACAAAGGCGCGGGAUUCAGGGUCCCGUGGCUGAGUGCCUUCGAGGGUUCGAAUCCCUCCCCCCGCA
rnacentral:tRNA from 1 species